rnacentral:lncRNA from 1 species
AACAUUCUGUGAAUAAAUGAAUAUAGACUUUAUAUAACUUGAGCUUUGUGGCUUGAAAUGUUUUCAGGAAGAAACUAUUUGAAUUAUAAGGAAUGUUUAUUGUCCUUAAGGGUUUCUUUUUCUUUUUAAUUUCUCACCUCAAAUGCACAAUUAUUUGGGGGUGGUUGCUCAGAUGAAAAAGUACUGGCAUUUGUGUUGAACAUUUUAUUUUUUCACAUAAAGCUUCUGAGACGUUUUGCCAACUCCUGACUUGCCUGGAGACACGUGAAACCACCCCUGCCCCAGCUAUGCAUCCACUUUUCUUUUAGUGGGAAGGAGAAACCCCCAACCAUGAAAAGCUGAUUUCUGGAUUCUUUGAGAUAAAGGUUUUAGGAGAAAAACAUUUCAUGUAAACUUAAAUCCAAUACAAAUGAGUAAUGAAUAUUCCAAGACAAAGGUGUCUCAUUGUACUAUUUACUAAUCCAGAACAUUACCUAGGAAAUGUCUCAACUAGGGAGAUAAAGUUCAUGCAAGUAGCUAUCUUUAAGCUCUUAGGUUUCCUAAGUCUUUAAAUUGUAUGUUAGCUUUUGAUUCCAAAAGCUACUCUGGUUUGAAUGAAGUUCUUAAUACAACUGCAGUGCACACCAACCUUCCCUAGGAGAUCAUCUCCUGAAGUUGAGGUCCUGGUGCUGUCCACACGCAGAAGGUUCUGUGUACAUGUGUUUCUGUUCUGUGCAUUGUUACCCUGCUUGUGGUAAAGUCAGCUUAACUUUUUGUAUUAGAUUAUUUCACUAAAUGCUGCAGUCAAACUGAUCAAAUCUUUGUACCACAGAAAGUUAUUUAAAUUUUAUUUUUCUACUGAAAUUUCUAAUUCUGGUAUAAAUGUUUAUCAAUAAAGAUUACUUUCAACUCUGUGC